CCGAGUGAGGGUCUCCCGGUGAGCCCGAUCUCUCCACCCGUGUUUACCGUACUGUGUUGCUUUGGCGGGCCCGCCGUUCAGGCCGCCGGGGGGCAGGAUCGAUGCCCCGCCCCCGGGCCCGUGUCCGCCGGAGAUGAGGGAAAAACUCUUGCUGUCGGAUAUGCUGUCUGAGUGGAUAACAGAAGAAAUCAUUCA
rnacentral:misc_RNA from 1 species